rnacentral:rRNA from 1 species
UACGUAGGGCGCAAGCGUUGUCCGGAAUCACUGGGCGUAAAGGGCGCGUAGGCGGCUGGCUCAGUCGGGCCUGUAAGUGCGGGGCUCAACCCCGUGAUGGGCUCGGGACGGGCUGGCUGGGGCGCGGUCGAGGGAGACGGAAUGCCGGGUGUAGUGGUGAAAUGCGUAGAGAUCCGGCGGAACACCGGUGGUGAAGGCGGCUUGCUGGGCUUGGUCUGACGCUGAGGCGCGAAAGCGUGGGGAGCGAACAGG